CCACAGUACAGUGAACAGGCAAAGUGCUAAGAUCAUAGUACAUUUUCCCUAGCCCUCUAUGACCCCCUCAGUUCUGAUGUCUCAGCCUGUCGUAGGCAGGUCAGUUUUAGGUUAGUCUGUCCUUCCUUUCAUUUCAGUCCCAGAUUCCCUGUCAGCUCCUUGUCCAGGAAUCUACUCUCUGUCUCUUACAUUUGGAUAGGAAAUACUGAUGCCUUCCCUUUAACAGAUUUUUAAACAGUCAAAGUCCUUUAUAAAAUUAGGUCCAAGAAUCUGGAACCAUUCAGAAGUUAUUUAAUUGGAAGUUAAAUUUUUAAACGUUGUCUUCAGGCCUUGGUGUCUACUCAGGGAAGAAAAGCAAUGGUGCACAUAUGGACACUGCACAGCAGGAGGAAGUGACGUCAACUGCAGUUUGCCACGACAGUGCCUGUUCCCUCGGGCCUCCUGUAUGCUGUUCCUUCUGAGCUCUCCUCCCAUGUUUUCGCCAUACCACAGCAAGUACAAAGUUCCUGUUGCGGUCAUCUUCAGGAAAGGGGUGAAAGUGUGACUCAAAGACUGGAAGGCAGCACCAGCUGGUUAGGUGAGCCAGCACUUGGUUUCAUGUGUUGUGAGCCUACAGUGGUACCCUGGGACCCAGGUCAUAGAAAAAGGCCUUUGCAAGUAGAAGGAGAGUCUGGGGGCCUUCUGAGUUUUGCUUUAUGUUAGAUGUGUAGUUCUAUUAAUGGCUAGAGUUUGUAGAGUGCUUGCAGUUCAUUUAAUCCUGCAGUGACUCCACGGGAAUACAGUUGAUCAGAUGAGGAAGCAGGUUUAGAAGAAUAAGGGCAUGUUAGACCCUGACAUAGCUGAGCCCAUUGACACAUUUAGCCCAUUGCAGCUUAGUGGUUUGGAGGAGGAGCUGGAGAUUGGCCAGCUCUGUGGUGCUCUGAUGCCACUGAUCCCAGGGGCUGCUGUCUGUGCUCUGCACUAUCACAUCUGAGCCAUAGUUCACCAAAUGGAAGGAAGCCAGCUUGUACUUACAAUGCGUUACUACUAUCCCCCACAGCUCUGUGAGACUCACUCCCUCAAUGAAGCAAUCUUUUUCUCACCCAGAUAGCUUUACUAGUGUGAAAGUUUUCCUUUUCCCUUUUGCCUCAGAGUAGUCUGACCCCCUGGAGGCAGCACAGCAAAGGCCCUAGAACCAACUGGCCUGUGCUCCAGCCUUCACUGUUCUCUUUCAUCAGUUCCUCACCUUUUAAAGAUGAGAGCGAUGUCAUGUGCCCCAGAGGACUGUCGGCAGUUAAGUGAGUUAAUAGAUGGGACACACAGAAGGUGCCCAGCACACAAUGUGUGUAUGUGUGGGCAAGUUACCUGUCACCGUUAUUAGUAAAUCAUUAGAGUGCCCUUGAGUGCAGAGGCCAUGCCCUCUGGAAUUCUACCCAACAAGUGUGAUCUCUUCUGCCCUUCAAAUGUUUGAAAACUCCUCAAAUUUCCAUUGAGCCUUGCUCUCCACAGUAAGAGUCUCCAGCCUUCAUUCACGUGGUUCUCCGUACCUUAGGAGCAGCACGUGGCUGUCCUGUCCCCAUGCUGCUGGAAAGGUAGCAGACAGUGUGGGCAUGGAGUGCCUUCCUCCAGCAGUCUCUGUCUCGUUCUUCUCGGGCUACAGUGCUGUGAUAUAUAGUCAUCUGCUCCCAACUCUGAAACUUUCCUGUCAGAACGCUCGUUCACUCUUUAGGGAGUCUGUUGUAUUCUCUGUCCCUGACGCCCUCAGGUGAAAAUUGGAAGCCCAAAAGCAGAAAUGCUAAGUCAGUGGAUCUGAAAAGGCAUUAAAAUGUCAGAUAUGUA